rnacentral:lncRNA from 1 species
UAUGUUUAUAUUAAACCUACUUUUAAGAAAUUCACCUUUUUCUUUUUUUUUUUUAUCAAUUCAGCAUCUGGUUAGAAUUUUCUUUCGUUGUUGUUUUAGAUUUUUUCUGUAAAUCUUUUUGUAGAUCUGGUGUUGGAUUCAACGAUUAUUAAGAAAUAAUUUCUAGUUUGAUGAUUGAGAUGUUGUAUUCUCUGAUAUUUUUCCCAUAAGUGAUUCAAUUCACAUUCAACAUGUUUUGAAAGACAAAUCUGAAAGAAGAGUUUGAAUUAAUUUGAGAAAUCAUUGAUGAUUAUUCCUAUAUCGCUACGGUAGUAUAAAGUUCCCCGGACGUGAGAAAAACCCCAAGAGAAAACACAAAAAUACAGAGGAACAGAGAUAUUCUCCUUGCAAAGAAAAAAGCCGUGGUUGUUUCUAGCUGAAUCCAUGUGUUCAACACCAAUUAUGUCCUAAGACCAAAUGGCGAAAAUAACCCUGAAGCAAGAAGGAAUGUCGGCGAUAUCGUGCCUACUUAUGCUGCCACAGUAUGACUUCUAAUAUAGAAGAAAAAGUGUAACUUUUUGCUCUGUAAAGUGUUUGACUAUUCUCCAUAAUGGAGCUGUGUUACUUCGUAUUUAAACCUAUUAUUCUAGUUAUUUGAGAUUCCUUGUGCCUUGUAUUGGCUAUUGAGUAAUGCAGAUUUCACUUAGACACCAAAAGCAUGAUAUGAGCAAUCGAUAAAUUUCACUUUGAUAUACAGAUUGCAUUUACAUUGGUUGAGAGAACCAACUACAAACUGAUUGCUGAGCAUAAUCUUUAGCUCAGCUGACUUUUGCUAUAUCACUAGAGGCUAUUGUAAUUGAAAUGAGUUAUUGCUUGCAAAAUAGUCCUUGAUAUGAUGUUGAUGUAAUUAUAGUAGUUAUACCCUUGCUUUAACCCUAUUUUUGUUCCUAAGCUAAGGUUAUGGGGAAAGAUAAUUACCAAAGCUCACCAAACUACCUCUGCCUGAUUUGGGUUGUCUGCUUUCGUCAGACCUCAUGAUCUGACUAGGGUGACCCUUCUCUAAGUUUGAUUAGUUAAAGUGAGCACAAGUUGAGUCGAGAAAUUAAAAAUUAAAAGAAAAGAUGAAAGAAGAGCAAAAGUUGAUAUUUGACUACUAUGAUAGGUAGGAUGUCAAGUACAACCCUAAAGAAUUUCUGCUUUAUUUUGGGUAAUCUAAGUUGGCGCUAGGACAUAGAUUUUCUUAAAUUUUGAAUUAUUUUUUAAAAAGUAGUUUUUGAGGUUGAAGUUAGCUUUGAACAUAGAUAUCACUUGAUAAAAGAAUGUCUUCCGCUCGAAAAUAUUUAAAGUUUUUUUUGUCUGACACACACAAAAAUAUUCACUUGAAAAAACUAGUCAAAAUCAGUUUAUCUAUAAGCUAAAAAAAUAGUCAUUUUUUUCGAAGUUGAAAAACUCAUAGAAGGUUAGAAUUCAGCAAUGUAAUCCAACAGAGACAAUUCUAACGAAAAUAUAAUGCAUAACCAAAAAGCAUAUGUAUUUUUCUGGUUAAUUUGAAAGGUAGGAUAUAUAUAUAUAUAUACACACACUACUCUCACACAUGUGUUGCAUGUGUAUAGCCGAUCAUAACUUUAUACAUGACAAAUAUAUACAUCUGUACUGAGAUAUUGAACUCUCUCUCUAUAUAUAAUACACACACACUACUCUCACAUGUGUUGCACGUGUGUGUAUAUAUAUAUACUACUCUCACAUGUGUUGCACGUGUGUGUAUAUAUAUAUAUACUACUCUCACAUGUGUUGCAUGUGUUUAUCCAAUUAUAACUUUAUAUUAAAAAUAUACAUCUGUAUAAGACAUUGAACUGCAUAUAUGUAGCUCCCAUUAGCUAACAAGAAGGAAUAUACAUGUCAUCAUAAUUUUAAUUUUUCUAGUAUAAGAUUCUAUUGGUGUUAUCUCAUUUUACCUUCCUCUAGUUAUAAAGCUAAGGAAUAUAUAUAUAGAGUUCAAUGUCCCCAGCACGGCGCCAAAAACUUAGCAUCCUAGCACACACGUAAGUAUACAUGGUCAUCCAAGUAGUAAAGUGGACUUUAGGAUCCAAGUAUCGACUCCACAGGGACUUGUCUCAGGAACAAUCUAAUUCUAGUAUUACUAUGAAGAUUAAACAAGAGCAAGAGUAACCAAUAACGUUUGAGAAUUGAAAACUUAACAUAAUCGUAAAAAAUGCGAUAAUAUAAAGUGCUUGAACAAUAUAGGGAGAACUCUAGGGUCAAAGCACUAUGAACAAUCCUACUUAUCCAUACAAUCUUGUUGGUUUAUUUAAUUAUCUUGAUUGUUGAUUCACGAGGUUGAUAACAUAAUUAGGCAAACAAUGUCUAAUUCAAGUUUGCUUGGGUUCCAACUUCCUAAUUCCAAUUUUUGAUUCCUAAUUUCACUUUUUAAUUCCUAAACUAAUUAACAACUACUAUUUGAUAUACUUAGUUGAUAAAUUAGUCUUUGAGUCUGAUUUUUUUUGAUCUAUUUCAUUUUGUGGUUUCCUUAUUUUAUUUUGUUGUUAAUUCUUGAUUCUAGUACGUGUUGUUGGUUUGAGUCAUCUAUUAUUCUUCAAAGAAGAAUUCAUUCUAACUACGAGUAGCAAUUUACACUAUGUCUUCCAUUGGAGUAGAAAUUAUUAUUCACUGUGAUCUUAGGUGGAUUUAUGCACCUAGGUGUCAUAAUCUCUACGUAUUUAGAUUUGAGAAAUUUUUGUGUAUGUAGUGAGUUGAUAUUCAUAUAAUUGUGCAUCAAAGUAUUAAAAUAAAUGUUUAGAAUGUUCAAGGUGUGUUCAAAAUAAGUUUGGAAUGAAAACAAUUACUUAGAAUUUAGACGAGAAAACUAGUGUUACUAGCUUGAGCUAUGUGUUGUUCUAGUUGAUCUUGUUGGAUUCUAUUGUGUUUAAGCACUAAUUUGUGGUGUCUGAUUAUAUAGGAAGCCUUAUGAGAUUUUAAAAUAAAUGAUGGUAUGCUACACAAGCUGAAUUUAAAGUGGAAAGACAGCCACAAAGUGAGGAACUCAAAGGCAAAUGGAUGGAGCAAAUGUGGAUAAAAUCUGGAAAUAUUGAGCACAAAGGCGUGCCACACCCUAUAGCCUCCUAGAUAAGGGAAUGCCACACCCUUAGAAACAAACCAAAAAUAUGGCAAACUAGUGAGCAUCCAUGAUAAGGGUGUGCAACGAGCACACCUUUAUAGUGCCAAUGCAAGUGCGAGGUAUGCUCAAGACUUUAAAAUGGGCACUUUGUUCCAACUAUAAAUAAAACACUUCUAUCUUAUUGUACAUACUUUGGACGAACUUUGGGUAUUGAAAUACACUAGAGGAUGCUUAUUUUAGGGUUCUUAAUCUUUUCUUUAGUUUACAUUUAGUUUUUAUACAUGAAUUUUUUCAUUACGAUUUGUUAUAAAUUCAUGAGUGACUAAACACCCUCAUCUAGGGUUGAAGCCAAGAACACGAAUACUUAAGCUUAUAUUUGAGUUGACUUAUUUUUAUUAUCAUGUUUGGUUGUUUAUAUAUACUUGUUAUUACUAUUCUACAGAUUUGCGACCCUUAGGAUAAAUCUAUGUUUUUAUUGUGCAUUCGAAAGGAGGAACAAUAGAUUAGAUUGUGGGAUAUAUGGAGUGAGAUCUUAUACCGAGAGGGAUUGGAUUUAAGAUUUGUUUUUAGGAUAGGAAUGUACCUGAUUCUCCCCAUCUAGUUCAUAUACAGGAUAAAGUAUAAAUGCGUUUAACUUAGUUCUCACAUCUCUGCUCAGUGAUGUAGUUGUAGGUCUAAGUUAGAUAGACGAUUAAAAGAUGACGAUUCCCUAAUUAUUUCAUCAACCUCGUGAAUCAACAACCAAGAUAAUUAAAUAAACCAACAAGAUUGUAUGGAUAAGUAGGAUUGUUCAUAGUACCUUGAACCUGGAGUUCUCUCUAGUACAGUUCAAGCACUUUAUAUUAUCACAUUUUUUACCAUUACGUUAAGUUUUCAGUUCUCAAACAUUAUUGGUUACUUUUGCACUUGUUUAAUCUCCAUAUUAAUACUAGAAUUAGAUUUUUGCUGAGCACAAGUCCCUGCAAGAUCGAUACUUGGAUUCUAAAGUCCAUUUUACAAUUUGGAUAACCAUGUACACUUUGUGCCAGGGACUUGAAAUUUUCUAUUUGGUUUCUUAAGUGCUAACAACUUGAUCUUAGCUUCGAAUUUUCAUGUAUAAGUUUGAAACAUAAAUAAGCUAGCAAGGGAAAGGGAUUUGGUUAUCCCAUAUCUUGAACUUGAGAGACUCUUUCACCAGUUGAGGAGAGAAACAAUCCUUUUCUAUAGGAUACCUAAAGUUCAUUAGGAAAAAGCUAUUCCUACACCAAUGGCUAAAGAUCCACUAGCAUGCAGGAUACUAUGCGAAGCAAAAAUCCCACUCACAAUAAAUGUUACAUCCUUCAUUCGCAGAUCGAAACCUGGAGGUAGGUUUGAGCUUAAACAAAACAUGGUGCAAUUAUUGAACAGUAGUGGGCAAAUCACAGGCCUAUAACAUGAGGAUCCAUAGGUCCAUUUACAAAAUUUCUUGGAGAUCAGUGACACCUUUUUCCCUACUAGAGUCUCCACUAACAAUAUAAUGCUCACUCUCUUCCCCUUCUCACUUUUGUGGGAAGCAAAUAAAUGGUAGAAGGCAGAACCUUUAAACUACAUCACUACAUGGGAUGAUCUGGCAAAGAAAUUCCUCAUUUGAUUCUUUUCAUCUAGAAAGACUGUAAGGUUACACACUGAGAUUCUAAGUUUUAAGUAGAAGCCAGAUGAGAAUUUAUAUCUUGCAUGGGAGAGGUUCAAAUCUUUUCACAUAGACUUUCCACAUCACCAAUAGACCAAUAAGGUAUUAGCUCAUACUUUUGUUGAAGCUCUUAACCAUAAUACAAAAAUUUUGCUAGAUUCAGCUGCAGGCUGUCAAGCUUUGGAGAAAAUGUAUGAUGAACUUUUUACCCCCUGAAUUGAAUUGCAAAAGGAAAUCCUGACUGGCAUGGUAAUAUUUCUAGAAGUACGAUAAAAAAUCUUGCAGGUAUGAUUGAGGUGGAUAGCGUCACAACUUUAGCCGCUCAACUAUCAGCCAUGCAAAAUCAAAUAAUGAUAUAGUUAAGUAAGUUGAGUGUGAACCAACCUCAGGCUCAGGUAAAUGCAGUCCAUUAUAUCCCAUCUUGGUGUGAGAUUUAUGGAAUUCGUGGCCACUCUGUAAAAUUAUGUUGAGAAAAUCUAGAGUCAGUAAAUUUGGUGGGCAAUGAUAGAAGGGAAAUUAUGGUAAUGCUUAUAACUACAAGUGGUAGCGUCAGCCUAACUAUUCACAGGUUAACAAUAAGGUUCAGAAUUAGUAGUUUCAGCAGAAAACAAACAUACAUGCCAAUAAUAUCAAAGAAACAUUAAAAAAUAUAUUGACCGAUCAAGAAUAAAUGGUUAUAGAGACAAAAAUCAGCAACUUGCCCAAAAAUAAUUGGAGACACAAUUAGGGUAGUUUGCUCAAGCACAAAAUACCAGACCUCAAGGGGCUUUGUAAGUGAUAUAGAGAAUCCAAAGCAGGUUAUGGCAAUCACCCUAAGGAGUGGUAGAGAUCUUAGUAAUAGACCUUUCAAGAAAAAUUAGAAGGUGCAGGCAGAUUAAGUCUUAAAGCAGUCAGAGGAGAGGCAAGUUGGAGCUAAGGAAGCUGAAAAAUUAGGAAAGUUUGAGUACCCAAAAAUGAAGGCAGUUGUGUGUUUCCUCAAAAGCUCAAAAAGGCUAAGGAAGAUGCAUAUUUCAAGAAGUUCUUUGAUAUGUUCAGAGAACUUCACAUUAAAUUCCCAUUUUUAGAUGUUUUGUAGGGCAUGCUUAAGUACAGUAAGCACUUGAAGGAUGUGGUGACCUAUAAGACAAAACUGAAUAAUAUUGAGAUAGUGGAACUUACUGAGGAGUAUAGUUCGGUUAUAAUGAGAAAGAUAUCGACAAAGCUGAAGCAUCCUGGGAGCUUCACCCUCCCCAUACAAAUUGGUGAUAAUAAUGUGGUGUAUGCCUUGAGAUACUUGGGGGAAAGUAUAAAAUUGAUGCCCUUAUCUAUUUUUAAUAAUCUUAGUUUAGGUAAGCCGAGGUCGUGCUGUGUGAUUCUCCAAAUGGCAUAUAGAAUCAGAGUGUAGCCUAAAGGAAUAAUUGAGGACGUGCUUAUUAAGAUUGGUAAGUUCAUUAUUUUUAUUGAUUUUAUUUUUCUUGAUUAUGAUGUAGAUGAUAGGGCAUCGAUCAUACUGGGGUGUCUAUUCUUGGAGAUGGAAGGAGGACUAAUUAAUGUUAGAGAAAACACUUUUACAAUGAGAUUGGAUAAUGAAGAGGUGGUCUUCGAAUUUUACAAACCACUAAAUACACCUUUACAUUAUAAGGAUUUGUACAUGAUCACGAUGAUGGAACUGGAUGAGUGUUGGGUGGUAGAGUGCAAACCACCGAUGAGACUUUAAACUAUAUCAUAGAGUUGCCUAAGACACAACUUAAGCCCAAAGUAGAGAGGUCAAUGAAGAGCCCUAAAAAGGCUAUUAUGGAUAAAGGUGCAAGCCUUGAGAGUACAUACUCAAGAGGUCAAAUAGAGAGAGAAGAUGGCCUCUAAGUAGGAGGAAGAGGAUAAAGGAAUAUGAUUAAAUAUAGUGAUGUGGGUUAUGCCACAAAACUAAAUCAGGCACUAUUUGGGAGGCAAUCCAAGUUAAGGUAAGUAUUUUAUUUUUCUUUUAUAUCACGUUAGUUUUUGGUUUUGUUGAGUCACAGGUUGAUGGAAAGUCUGAGUACUGUAGACCAAACUAAGGAGAAUGGCAAAGAUUGGGUGUGGGAUCCACCGGACCUCUUGGAUGAUGAAGAUACUACUAGAUAGGCCUAGAGGCCUCAGAGAGUAUUUCUAUCCUUGCUUUUGAAUUAUACUUUGGGGACAAAGUGUAUUUUUAAGUGUGGGGUGGGAAAUAUUUUCAUGGUUUAGGGUGAAGUGCUGCUAUAGUUUUUUAUUUUUUAUUUGUUUUUAUAGUUUUUGAUUAAAUUUGAAAACAUUACAAAAAGAUUUUCUUAUUGGUUAUUUUUAGUUAUGUUUGGUGUUAGUCUAGUAGAGGCACACUUCACCCACUAUUAGUUUUUCUUUUUGAUUCUUUUUUUGAGGGGGAACUCUUUGAACCAAGUAUCCCUUUUUCAUUUUUAGGGGUAAAUUUUAAAAUUGUAGUAUUAGGAAUAAGUGAGAUGUCUUGUUAGUUUCUUUGUGUGAUUACAUAAUGCAAAUAGUUUGAAUGCAAAAACAUGUUAAUUGUGUUGAAUGACUACUUUUGAGAUACCUAGGCUCAUUUAUAUGACUCUUGUGCACUGUUGGGUUAAUUUUGAAUUUGUGCUAUUACUUAGUUUAGAGUCUAUAAUAAUCCUACUUGAUUUGAGCAUGUGCCAUGAGCGAGUGAGGCCAUUUGUAUUCCUUUUUGUAUUUUGAUGUCUAGAAAUUUUCUGGUGUGUAUGCAAAAUGAAAUAAACAAUAUUGGGUUUAGGAGAUUAUAUAUGCGUUUAUUUGAUAUCCAUGUUUAAAUCCCCUUUUAUCUAUACUUGUGCAUAAUCUUAGUUAACCCCGUUGAGCCCUAUCCUAUUUAUUUGGUAGCCUCAUAUGUUGCCUAUUCCCUUUAUUUGAUUUACCUGAAUUUGAUCCAAAGAUCCUAAGCACUUCAGUUGAAAAAUGAAUAUGGGUAACGCUUGUAAAAUAUAAGAGGAAAAAGGUGAAACUGAAGCCCUAAAAUAAUACUUGUUGGUGUGACAAAAUAUUUUUAUGUGUUGUGGUUGUGAGUAAUGUAAUAAAAACAGAAAAAAUGAUCAAAAUUGAAUCAUGUGUUGAUAAAAAAUACUCCCUCUUUAAUAUGUGAGAACUAGCUUAAAGAGAUGGGACAAAACAAAAGAGAUGUGCAAAGGUAGAGGUGGUGAAAGUUUGGUUGUUUUGAAAGAGUUUAAUCUACAAUGUGAUGUAUCAAAGAACUUAGAGAGUAUAGUCACUAUUACUAUCCAGAGUAGUUCCAACCCAUCACUUAGCCUACAUUACAACUCGUAAAGUUUUAUUUAAUCUUGAACUUUGACAUUUUGAUAUUAGUAGAGUGCUACACUAAGGGCAAGCCUAUGUUCAUCUUAUGUGACAUGCAAGUUCUUUGUGAGAGUGAGCGUAAUUUUAUUCUUACACCCAUUCUUGUGAUAGAUUGCAUCUCUGUGGGUCAAUAUGGGUAAUUCGCUUAUGGUGAGGGUGCAUGUUUGAUAAUAAUGAGGUGACUUAUAUGAUCUGUUUGAUUGAGUAAUAUGCGUGAUUUUAUCAACUAGGUGGAGUAAAUUAUUGAGGUUAGGAUGUUUUGAAGUAGUAUUCAUGAACUUAUAGAAGUACAUAAUAUACUUAUUAUGGAACUUGCUAUUCGUGUAGUCAUUGUAGUGCUAUCUUGGGUGUCUUUUUUGUUGUUGUAGUAAUGUUGGAGCCUUCCUUAGAUGCUGCUUAAUGUAAAGAUUUAUUCUAGGAAGAAUAAGGCUUUAAGUGUGGGGUGAUGGUCUUAGGUGGAUUUAUGCACCAAGUGUCAUGAUCUCUACGUAUUUAGCCUAGUUUUAAGUACUUCUUAUGUGCGUAUUGAGUUGAUAUUCAUAUAAUAGAGAAUCUAAUUGUUAAAAUAAAUGUUUAAGGUGUGUUCAAAACAAGUUUGGAAUGAAGCAAUCACUUAGAGUUUAGACGAGAAAACUAAUGUUACUAGCUUGAGCUAUGUGUUAUUCUAGUUGAUAUUGUUGGAUUCUAUUACUUUUAAGCUCUAAUUUGUGGGUUUUGAUGAUAUCGGAAGUUUUGUGAGGUAUUAAAUGAUCUGAGGUGGUUUUAUACACCUUAGUGUUGUCAUCCAAGCUUAAUUAGCCUUAUUUUGAGGAUUUUUCUCGUUCUUAAUGAGUUCAUUCUUGUAUAAAUAAACAGUGUGUUAAUAGUGAGUUUGGAGUGAAAAAACUAAAAAGUGCAAACGACAAAACUAGUAUUCUUAGCUUGAGCUAUGUUCCAUACUAGUUCAUCGUCUUGAAUUAUAAGUUGUUUUGAGCUCUAAUGUAUGGUGAUUGAUGUUGUAGGAAGCUUGGGCAGUUGAUCAUGAUUAUGCGUAGUUGAAUUAAAAUCUGGAAAUCAAGUAGAAACAACACCAAAAAUCUUGGAAUGGAUGGGCAAAAACAUGGGACAAGGCUUGUGCAAAUUGGGACGUUUUAGACACAUUGGCGUGCCACUCUACCUAGGUGCCAAGUUAUGGCCGAGGCAUGCCCAUGGAUUCAUUGUGGGUGGCAUAAGAAACUAUCUCAGCACUAUUAGGCCAUGCCACACUUCCUAGAUGGCGCAAUAUUGGAGUGGCACGGUCCUAUGUUAAAAUCAACAAUUCUUGUCCCCCUAUAAAUAAGACACUUGAACAUUACGUUAUACACCUUGGAUGACCUUAGGGAUUGGAGAUAGGCUGGAUAACACUUCAAUUAUACUUUUACUUCCAUUAAUUUAGUUUACCUUUGGAUUUUAUCAUGUAUUCAUCUCUUGUGAUUAUGUGUAUGUCCAAGAUUGGCUAAACACCCUUUUCCAGGGUUAAGACAUGAAUAUUAUUGUUAUGAAUUGAUUUGGUUUUGGUUGUUUAUCAUUAUUGGUUGUUUGUUUAUCAUUGUUAUCAUUAUUUUAUAUAUUUUGACCCUUAGAAUACAUACUUAACUCUAUUAUGAACCUGGAAAGAUUAAUUAUAGGGUAGAACGUGGGAUGAAUAAUAUAGGAUCAUAAAAUUAAUUGAAUGAAGUUAUGAUAUGAACUUAGGAUAGUAAUAUACUUAAGUGCCCUAUUUUUGUUCAACUAUGUAAUGGAUUUUGAGUGCUUUUAACUUAGUUCUCGCAUUCCCUUUCAAUGAUGUAGUUGUAGGGGUCAGGUUAGAUAGUCGACUGGAGGUCCAGAAGGCCAUAGUCAUAUCAUUAAUCAUGUGAACCAACAACCAAGAUAAUUGACCUAACCAAUGAAGUUCUAUAACAUAGUAUGAUUGUUCGUAGAGCCUUAACCCUGGGUUUCUCUCUAUAAUUGUUCAAACCUUUACCGCAUUUUUUAGUUUACAGUUACUUAUAACUUUCAAACUCUUGCGGUUACGUUUGCACUGAUUUAAUCUUAAUAGUUGAACUGAAAUUGGAUAGCUACUUAAUAAUAGUCCUUGUGGUCCCUGUUGGACCACGUACACUUGCGUGUGUGCUUGGGCACAAAAUUUUUUUGGUGCCAUUGCCGGUGACUUGUAAGUUGGCAACUGUUUUAGUUUUAGUUUUGCUCUUUGAUUUCUUUGGUUCUAUUCACUUGAUCUUGGCUUCUUAAUUUGCAGGCACAAGUUUAGCAAACUAGUAAUCUAGCAAGGGAUAGGGAGUUGAUUGAACCAGACCUCGAGCUCGAGCAAUGCUUACACCAAAAGAGGAGAGAAGUAGUACUUCUUUAUAGAAUCCUAAAAAUUCAUGAAGAGAAAAAGAUUCCUGCACCCAUGGCUGAAGAUCCACCAACUCGUAGGACUGUAUGCAAAGUGGCUGUCCCACUUGCGACUAAUAUGACCUCUUAUAUUCGUAGACCUGCUACUGCAGGUAGAUUUGAACUAUAGCAGAACAUGGUGCAGCUUUUGCACGGCAAUGGUCAGUUCACUGGGCUUUCACGUGAAGAUCCGCAGGUUCACUUGCAAAAUUUCUUAGAAAUCAGUGAUACAUUCAUCCCAACUAGAGUGUCACCGAUUAUGUGAGACUAAAGCUCUUCCUCUUCUUACUUUUGGGGGAAGCAAAGAAGUGGUUGAAUGGAUAUCCGGCAAGUUCGAUCAGAACAUGGGAUGACUUAGCCUAGAAGUUCCUCAUUAGAUUCUUUCCAUUCGGCAAGACUGCGAGACUCGCAGUUAGAUUUUGUGCUUUAAGUAGAAGCAUGGUGAUAUGUCAAAAAACUCAGUGAAAAAAGGUUGCGGGCAUGAUUGAAGUUGAUAGUAUCAUUGUCUUAGCCGCUCAACCAUCAGUCAUGUAAAAUCAAAUAAUGACCCAAUUCAGCAAAUUGGGUGUGAAACAAACUCUAGCUCAGGUGAAUCCAGUGCAGCAGACCCUAGGUUGGUGUGAGAUUUCUGGCAAUAGUAGCCCCUAUGCAGACAUAUGUGGUCUAAAUCCUGAAUCCCUAAAUUUUGUGGCCAAUGCACAUAAUCCAACCAAUGCGAAUGCCUAUACCCAAAAGUGGCAGACUCUGCCCAAUUAUGCAUGGGGAAAUAAUUAGAACCAGCAACUCUAGUAGCAGCACAAUACACAUGCCAGUAACAUAAAGGAAACUUUAAAGAAGAACCUGGCCAAGCAAGAAGAAAUAGCUGCUGAAAUAAAAAAUAAGCAAGUGUCUCAACAAAAGUUAGAGCAAUAGUUGGGGUAACUAGCCCAACCACAAAAUACCAGGCCACAAGGUGGAUUGCCAAGUGAUACAGAGCAUCCGAAGAAAGUUAUGGCAAUCACUUUGAGAAGUGGUAAAGAUAUUACCAAUAGAUCUCAAAAGAAAGCUAAGAAAGUAGAUUCAAAGUUAGUCCACAAUAGGUCUCAGACAAAAAUACUAACAAUUCAAGGAAGUCUGAGUACCCGAAAGUAAAAGAUGCAGAGCAUGUAAAUGAAAGACCACCACAUCAUUCUCACAGAGGCUGAAAAGGCUAAAGAAGAUGCUUGUUUCAAGAAGUUCUUUGAUACAUUCAGAGAACUUCACAUUGAUUUGCCCCUUUUAGAUAUUUUGCAAGGAAUACCUAAGUACUCCAAGUAAUUAAAGGAUGUAGUGACUAAUAAAGUAAAGCUGUAGGACAUUGAGAUGUUGUCACCUACUUAGGAGUGCAACUCUGUGGUAACGAAAAAAAUGCCCAAGAAGGUUAAGGACCCAGGGUGUUUCACCCUCCCCAUACAGAUUGGUGACGGUGAAGUGGUCCAUGCCUUCAGUGAUUUGGGGAAAAGUGCAAAUUUGAUGCCUCUGUCGUUAUUCAACACUCUUAGGCUGGGUAAGCAAAAACCAUGCUCUGUGAUGCUUUAGAUGGAAGACAGGACCGCAAUCAGGCCCAAAGGAAUAAUUAAAGACAUGCUCAUAAAGUUUGUGUCACAACUCGAACCAGGGCCUAGACGUAAUAGAAAUCCCAAGUCCAACCAGGAUUGGGGACCGCCCCCUUAACCCAACACAACCGCCUAUUACAACCUUAGAUGAGCUGAAUUUUGAACAUAUAACAAGAUAGCGUUAUUGUUCACAUCAAGACUCUGGGAUAGGAUCACGACCGUGAUCGACCCUACCGAGUCUAAUUGUACCAAACCCAACCAUCCAUACCAUACCAAACCAAAGAGAAUAUCAAAACAUAAUAUAAUAAUCAAUCCCAAAAUGUAAUAUGAUAAAACAACCAACAAUAUCAUCCAAUAAUGUCAGCCCCAACAUAGAUGCCAAUGCUAAGGCCGACACCAAUACGAUUUCGCCCAUACAAACUCCCAGAAGCACCACAAAGCCUCUAUCCAAAAGAAUACAAAUAUCCAGUUGGGACAUGGCCCCAACCAUGGCCAAAACAAAUGUCCAAAAUGAAAAUAAAAUGUCUAAGAGUAUCCAUAUUAUGAAAUGGAACCUUUCAAAAAGAUGGAAGAUCACCACUUUAAUUCAAAUGUUGUCCCUGAGUCAAUCACUAUGUAGGAGGAUUUGAAUGGCCGGUGUCUGCAUAGCAUGGGUAUAAAACCGCUAGUAGACGGGUAACCGAGUGACCGCUAGCAUGUAUCUCAUGAUAAGGAUGAAGUAAUGCCAUUUAAACAACCAAUUAAAACCAUCCAUUAUGUAUACAACCAUACAUAUAUAUAAGUGCCAGGAAAGGGAAUUCGUGUUUACCAUGCAUUUAAAACCUUUACUUGGGUUGUGUAACCUUGCCGUUUAACUACACCCAUGGGUCGUAUGGGUUCAGCUCCCCCUACUGAAAGAGUCCUAGUUCGUGUAGCCGCAUGACCAGGAAAUUUCCUAUGGGAUGACUAGUACAUCCCUCCUAUAUAAAACAUUACACUCGCACAUAGUCAUCAAAGGCCCCUCAUAUUGACAAAUAUGAGUUUCCAAUUUCGGUCCCCCCAGAACCUCCACCUUCCACGACUUAGUUACACAUCUCGCCAUUAAUGCCCAAAUUAAAACCAUGUACAAACCAAUCCAAUUACCAUGUAUUAACCAAGUCCAUUUAUUAGUGGUAUUGUCAUACCAAUCAUACUUGCAAGGCCAAACCAUUUAGGUUAAGGGGACUCUUAAGUGCCCUAUUCGUUUACUAUAUAACCUUUUGGGAGAAUUUCAUGUACUCAUCAAGAAAAACCAAUAAGCCUUUAACCUUUGUAAAAUAUUUAAACCAUUUAUAGUUUUAUGCAUAAACUAAAAACAAGCAAGAGUUCCAUUUAAAGAAGUCAAUGCAAUAAACAUAUCUUUAUAAGUAUUUUAUCAAAUACCUUAGGAAUAUAAUAUAACCAAAACCAAUUCCAAAGAUCAUUAAAUCAUUACCAUGAAAUCCAAUUGCCUAAAACUACCAUUAAUGCAUAUAAAAGCACAGUUAAACCAUAGGAAACCAUAGCCAAACCAUUUACACCAAACCUCCCCAAUUAUUAGUGGAAAAUCAUAACCCAUGCACUAUUGAAACCAUGAAAAUAACCAUAAAAUUUAUGCCUUAUUAGAAAUAGUAAGUAGGGAAGAGACACAUGCCUUAAACCAAAAAAUAUAAUGGAAGAAAAUCACCAAAUCAAGCCCAAAAACAAUCCCUAAGUUGAAACCCUAGCUCUCUUUCCUCAAAAGCUCUUAAUAGAAUUGAUAAAGGUUUAUAAAUAGUUUUACAUGUAUUAAUGAAUAGAAUAAUAGGAUAAAUAACCUCCUAAGUAUAUUAAAAGUUGUGGGUUAUAAUUAGGGUAAGUAGAGAAAUGUCUAGAAUACCCCUACUUAAGUCCCUUAAAAACUAAUCAUAGGGAUAUGACUAACCCUCUUAUGAGUCAUAUCCUUUCUUAUGAUUGGUUCCCACCAUUCGUACCCAGGCCUUAACCUUAGAUCAGGUACUAUCCAGUAUAUGACUCAUACAACCAAGUCAUAACCUUAGCAUACGUUCCGUACCCAUGAUUCAUAUCCCUGGCAGAAUGAAUUACCAAGAGGAUUAAACACUGCCCACCAUACGGGUCCCUAAUAUGACUCGUAUCCAAGACUUACGACUUAUACCCUUAAGUCAUGACCAUUUUAAUGAUAAAAAACAUCUCACCAACUAAUACUGGUCAGCUUAGGAUAGGACCAUACCACUUAUACCCCUGCAUACUGCUCGUACCCUGGAGUCAUAUUGGGUCCAGAGAAUGGAUAUCAAGGAAAAAUUUCUCCCGGGAUGUAAUAGGUUGGUAAGUUUGUAAUUCUUGUUGAUUUAGUUAUUUGGAUUUGAUACAGAUAAUUAGGUGCUAAUUAUUCUAGGACGUUCAUUCCUAGAAAUAGGAGGAGCGUUGAUAGAUGUGAGAGAGGGCACUUUCACAAUGCGAUUGGAUGAUCAAGAGGUGGUUUUUAGAUUUUAUAAUCCACUUAAUCUAAUUUUACACUAUAAGGAUUUGUGUAUGAUUAUGGUGAUGGAAGUAUAUAAGUGUGGGAUGGUAGAAGCCAUACUACCAAAGACCUCUUUGGACAAUGUCAUUGAGUUGCCCAAGCCACCACCUAAGCCUAAGAAGAUGAUGAUGGAUAAGCAUGAGAAGGCUGUUUUUGAUAAAAAUAUUGACCUUGAGAGUUCAUAUUUAAGAGGCUAAAAAAGAAUCAGAAUAUUGACUCCAAGUAGGAGGAAGAGGAUGAAAGAAUUCAGUUGAGUGGUGAUAUUCGGUUGUGUCACGACACUAAAGCAGGCACUGCUUGGGAGGCAACCCACAUCAAAGUAGGUUUUAUUUUACAUAGUUUUAGUUUUUACUUCACUUAGUUUUUUAUUUUUGUUGAGUUAGAAGUUGAUGGGAAGUUUGAGUACUGAAGACUUGAGCUAAGGAGCAUGGCAGAGAAUAUAGUGGGGUCCUCGGACUCUCUUGAUACUAAAAGAUGCUACUAGCUAGGCUUAGAGGUCUCAAGAAGUAUUUAUAUCUCUACUUCUAAGUUUACGUUAAGGUCAAAGUGAGUUUUAAGUAUGGGGUAGGGAAAUUCCCAUGGUUUUGGUUGAAGUAAUGCUGUAGGGUCUUAGGUUUUAGUUAUUUUCUUAGUUUGUUUUGGGUUCAAUUUGACAAAAUUUGAAAAAAUUACAAAAAGAUUUUUCUUUUUAGUUUUUAUUUUGCUUUAUAGGUGCACACUUCAGCUACCCUGUGGUUGUUGUUUUUGGUUAUUUUUCACGGGGGCGCCCUUUGAACGAGUUUUCCUUUUUCUUUUUAAGAUAGAUUUUAAUUUUUUUUCUUACAUAAGUGAGAUGUUCUUGUUGGCACUAUGUAUGAUUGCAUGAUGCAAGUUGGGUUAGUUGUUAAAGAAUGUUGAUGGUGUGAAUUACUACUUUUGAAACUCCUAGGCUCUAGUUUAUGACUCUUGUACAUUGUUGGCUUAAUAUUGAAUUCAUGCUAUUAUUUGGUUGAGAAUCUAUAAUGAUUCUACUUGAUUUGAGCAUUUUCCAUGUGUCUGUGAGGUUGUUUAUAUAUUACUUUUUGUAUGUGAUAUCUAGAACUUGCCUGGUUGUAUACAAAGUAAAAUAAAGAGUGAGGGCUUAGGAGAUGAUAUAGGCAUUUUGUUGAUAGCCAUGUUUCAUACCCUCUUUUAUCGACCCUUGUGGAUAAUCUUAAUUAGACCCAUUGAGACUUUGUAUUAUUCUUUGAUAGCCUUGUAUGUAGCCUAACUACUGUUUUAUUGGUUUGACCUUAAAUGUAAUACCCCGACCAUUUCGUAAGCCUAAAUCCAUCUUUUGAGUGAAUAUGGAUGACUUCCAAAGUGAUUGAUGUUUAUUUCAUACUGUAUUUCCCUAAUUUUGACUUUCUUUCACAUGGAGAAUUGAAUAAGCUUUCCAUCAAUACCAAUUUCAUUAAAAUUAAAGACGGAGCAAGAAGCUAUGACUAUUUGAAGUCCCAAUCGUGAAACAUCAUUAUUUAGACCCUCAGCGCAUCGCGGAGAUAAGUAAUAUCCCAAUUGUCACUUUCCAGUUAGCCUCCGCGAUAUUACCACAUCUUGUCAAGGCUCAAUAUCAGGAUUGUCAAAUUCCAGUGCACUAACACGAUUCCGCUGUGUCGCGGUGCCCUUCCAGGUCAUAACCAAGGUGGCAACACAAUUUCACCUUGUCACGCCACCAAGCAAUUUCCCAGUUGUCCAAAUCCAGUGAAGGACUGCGAUCAAGGCGCAUCAUGCUAGGGCCAAAAAUCAGUCUCCAAUUUUAGAAUUUACUCAAGGGCAUUUUGGUUUUUCCGCCCAGUUUGGCCCUCUAUAUAUAGAUUCAAGUAGAGAAGAGAAAUCCAUUCUUCUCCAUUUCUCUUCCAAGAAAUAUCUAGAACUAGGGUUUCUCUCUUCUAAAUCCAAAGCAAAUUUUCUUCAAGAAAUUCAAGAAUUUUUCCAUAGAUUUCACCGAGUUGUUCAAGAAUCAAGUUCUCCAAGUCAAAGGCAUCAAGAAACUUAGCUCAAAAGUGUGAAGAAGAGUUUCCAAUCAAGUCUUUUCAUCUUAAAGUUAUAAUCCAAGGUAUGUGGGUCCUGAACAAGAAUAUUCUUUCAUUAUUGUGCCCAAAGAAUUGAUUUUUACUAUUGAAAUUUCAUUAUCUUUUUAAGUGGGUUUACUCCCAAAUUACUUUAUUGAUGAUCUAUGAGAUUUGAGUUGAUUAAGUUUGUAUAUUGUUAUUAUGUAUUGAUGAUUUCUAAGUGAUUUGAGAUAAGUGUCAUGAUUUAAGCAUUUCUACGAGAAGUUAAUUAUUGAAUAUAUAUUGAUAUUUGAUCUUGUGAGUCAAGAAUGAGUUCUAUGAUGUUUUCUUGAAGUUUGUGAUGUUUGAUAUGAACAAAUAAGCAAGUCCACUUGAUGAUGAGAAAGAUUGUUUUGAGUUGAGUCGAGUUAGGAGUCCACAAAUUGUUUAUGAUUUACCGAUGAGAUAUAUUUAUGAUUUUGGUCUCUAUGAUAGACCCUUGAGUUGAUUGAGGUGGAUUUCCUGAUGUGUUAUGAGAUAAGUCUGGGAGGAGUAUUUAGCACCGAGCAGAAAUCGUGGGUUCAGCGCAUCCUACUUCUCCAAAAUUAUGUACCACAGUAGGAUUGAGAUUUAAGGGCCAAAGAGCCGAGUUUGUGAUCACAGAGAUGAGUUUGAGGUUAUAUUCCCUGGCAAGAGUAUAACGCUCCUGCCAAUGUGGAGUUCCUUCCUUAAGAGGGCAAAACGUUGGACUCCAUAUGGCUCACAUGGCUUAUGUCAGUUAUAAGAAACUCCCAAGUCCAUAAUAGUCCAGGUUUCAUGAGUCACCGAGUCACUCUAAGUCACAAGUCAAAGAGUUUGAGUUGAGUCUAAUGAUUUAUGAGAUUUAUGAAGUAUGUGUUAUUAUUAAUGAUUUAUGGAAAUUAUGUUUCAGGUAAUUCAAGCGAAUAGAGUCAUUAUUGUCAGCUUGUAUGAUUUUCUUACACAUUUAUGAUAUUAUUUAUGAUGUUGUAUACACCCCCACAUACUCAGUACAUUCCCAAGUAUGAUUCCCAUACUCUUCUAUGUUCUAUAUUUUCUUGUAAUGUAGGUUCAGGUGCUCAGUCUCAGCAGCGACAGUGAUCUCUGAGUACCUUCAUCUAAACUUUUGCAGUUGGUGAGUCCUCAUGGUUCGAGGACCUAUGUCCCUAAUUUUGUCUUGUUAAUAGAUGGUUGUUUCUUUUUAGUUCAAUACGAGUUAGUUGGGGAUCUAUCCCAAUGGCUCCUCAGUCUUAUAUAGUAGAGGCUUUGUCAGACUAGAGUAUCAGUAUGUACAAAAUGUCAGUAUUUUGAUUAUGUAAGCCAGUAUAUCUUUGCUCUCAAGUAUGUCCAUGAUAUGAUAUCCUUUCUUAUUUUGCCAUGACUACCGUCAAAGUGAGUUCAAAAAGGGAUGACAAGAUUAGAGGAUUAGCUUGUAGCCAUGUGUUGCCUUAAGUACUGUGUGACGUCUCGGGAUGGAUUCUUGGGGCAUUACAAGUUUGGUAUCAGAGUCUAAGGUUUAAAGAGUCCUAGGGAGUCUAACAAGCCACGUUAUGUAGAGUCUUGAUCAUCGGUAUAUAGCACGCUACAUCUAUGAGCAAGAGGCUAUGGGAAGUUUUAGGAAAAUUUAUUUCUCUUUUAAAAAUCUAUCGUGCCUACGACUGUUUCUCUCUGCUAUUAAUUUGUGCUCUCUUAUGAUAGAAAAUGCCUCCUCGUAGAGCUCACAGAAACAACGAACGACCUCAACCUGUCGAUCCUUUAGAUGAGAUGAUGUCCCACGCUGAAUUUUAGGUAGCUUUUCAGGUGCUAGCCUAGGUGGUUACCGCCAAUGCUUAGACCCAUGCUCAGGUCAUAGUUCUACCUUUGAAAUAAGGUAAUUCAGUAGCAGCUCGGGUUUGUGAUUUUAUGCGGAUGAAUCCGCCAGAGUUUUAUGGGUCAAAUACAGGUGAGGACCUGCAGAUAUUUCUUAAUGAGGUGAAAAGAAUCGCCCAAAUUAUGCAUGUAAUGGAGGAAGAAAGUGUGAAGCUAGAUUCUUAUCGUUUGAAAGAUAUUGCCUAUGAUUGGGUGAAGAUGUGGAGGAAGAGUAGAGGGGAGGAUGCCGCUCCCAUUACUUGGCAAUUGUUUCGGGAUUCCUUCUUAAACAGGUUCUUUUCCUUAUAAUUGAGUGAAGCAAAGGUAGAAGAAUUUAUGAACUUGAGACAGGGCUCCAUGACAGUUAAUGAGUAUUGUCUUAAGUUCAACCAGUUAUCUAAGUAUGCUCCGGUAUGAUGGCUGAUUCAAGGACCAGUAUGAGUAAGUUUCUAACUGGCGUAUCGAGUUAUGUUAUGAAAAAGUAUAGAUCCGCUAUGCUCAAUAGGGACAUGAAUCUGUCAAGGAUAAUGAUACAUGCUCAGCAGAUUGAGGCGGACAAAAUGAGAGAGAGAGAGAGAGUAAGAGAAAAUAAGAGGGUUAGGUCAGAGCAGCAGGGGUAUAGUCAGACUAGAUUUUCUGAAGGGAACCACCCUCAGUUUUAGAAUCGUUCCGUCGUGCCAGCGCCUCUAUCAGCUAGUGCUCCCAUAUCUAGAAUCAGGCAGGAGCAGGGUAAUAGGUCUACUAUGUCCAAGUCCUAGUACAGUGUGAGUAAAAGACCUCAUCCUCCCCUAUGUUUGAGGUGUGGUAGGGACCAUCCCAAAGAGUUCUUAGCUGAUAAGAGGGGUUGUUUUGGUUUUGAUAAGUUGGGCCAUAGACUCAGAGAUUGCCCGUACGCUAGAUAGAGGAGUCAUGACAUUCGUCACCAGAGUCAGGCUAUUAGUGCUCUAUCCCCUUUAUCUCGUCCUACUCCUCCUUAGGGUGCCUCAUCUAGUACUGCAAGUGGUCAGCGCAAGAAUCGCUUUUAUUCUAUACUAUCCCGCCAGGAACAGGAGGAUUCACCAGAUGUUAUUACUGGUACGCUCCGUGUGUUUCAUUUUGAUGUGUAUAUGUUGAUGGACCCUGGGUCAAGCUUUUCUUAUGUGACUCUAUUGGUGGCUGUGAAUUUUGAGAUUAGUACUGAAAAGAUUCUGGAGCCUAUCCUAGUUUCUACCCUAGUAGGUGAAUCUGUUGUUGGUAAAGAAGUGUAUAAGAAGUGUCCUAUCACUGUCCUUCACAGAGUCUUAUUUGCAGACCUGAUUGAACUAGAAAUGGUCGAUUUUGACAUUAUUCUGGGUAUGGAUUGGCUUCACUCUUGUUAUGCGUCUAUAGACUGUCAAACCCGUGUAGUCAAGUUUCAGUUUCCCAAAGAGCCAGUCUUUGAGUGGUCUGAAAAUUUUGUAUCCCCUAAGAGUCAUUUCAUAUCUUACCUUAAAGCCAGAAAAUUGAUAUCCAAGGGUUGCAUCUAUCUUUUGGUUUGAGUUAAAGACACUAAGUCUGAGACUCUAACUAUUUAGUCUAUCAGUGUUGUCAAAGACUUUCUUGAUGUUUUCCUAGAAGAUCUUCCAGGGGUACCUCCCUAUAGAGAGAUAGAUUUUGGGAUUGAUCUUCUUCCUGAUACACAACCAAUUUCUAUUCCUUCAUAUCGUAUGGCCUCUGCAGAACUUAAAAAGUUGAAAAAGCAACUCAAAGAUCUUCUUGAUAAGGGUUGUAUAAGGCCUAGUGCGUCUCCUUGGGGCGCACCCAUUCUAUUCAUAGAAAAGAAGGAUGGUUCAUUGCGUAUGUGCAUUAACUAUCGUCAGCUUAACAAGGUCACAAUCAAGAACAAAUAUCCUCUUCCUAGAAUUGAUGACCUAUUUUAUCAGCUGCAAGGUGCCAGGUAUUUCUCAAAAAUAAACUUGAGAUUCGGUUACCACCAGCUUAAAGUUAGGGAGUGUGAUAUUCUAAAGAUAGCUUUUCGCACCCGUUAUGGUCAUUUUGAAUUCCUGGUCAUGUCUCCCUAUUAGAGAAGGCCCUAUGGAGUAAAAAUAAGUGGAUGAACUCUUGGAGGAUAUGUUAAGGGCAUGUUUUCUUGACUUCAAAGGAAGUUGGGAUGAACAUUUGCCAUUGAUUGAAUUUGCUUACAACAACAGUUUUCAUGCUAGCAUUGGAAUGACUCCAUUUAAGGCUUUAUAUGAAAGGCGAUGUAGAUCACCCAUAGGUUGGUUUGAAGUGGCUAAAGCUGCUGUGAUUGGACCUGACGCUGUGUUUGAGGCCGUAGAGAAAGUUAAGCUAAUUCAGGAAAGGUUGAAGAUAGCCUAGAGUCGUCAGAAGUCAUUUGCUGAUGUGAGAAGAAGAGCUCUUGAAUUUGAGGUCGGUGACUUAGUGUACUUAAAGAUUUCUCCCAUGAAAGGGGUGAAAAGAUUUGGUAAGAAAGGGAAACUUAGUCCUCGAUAUGUCGGCCCUUACAGAGUUCUGAAUCCUAUUAGGAAAAUAGCUUAUGAGAUUGGCCCUUACAGCCUAAAUUCAUCUUUUGAGUGAAUAUGGAUGACUUCCAAAGUGAUUGAUAUUUAUUCGUGGAGUAUUUCCCUAAUUUUUACUUUUUGUCAUGUGGAGAAUUUACUAAGCUUUCCGUCGAUACCAAUUUCGUCAAAAUUAGAGAUUGGAGCAAGAAGUUAUGACAAUCUGAAGUCCCAGUCGUGAAACAUCGUUAUUUAGAUCCUCAGUGCAUCGCAGAGAUGAGUAAUAUCCCAAUUGUCACUUUCCAGUGAGCCUCCAUAAUAUUACCGCAUUGCGCCAAGGGUCAAUAUCAGGAUUGUCAAACUCCAGUGCACCAACGCAAUUCCACCGCGUCGUGGUGCCCUUCCAGGUCAUAACCAAGGUGUCAACGCGAUUUCACCACAUCACGCCACUGAGCAGUUUCCCAGUUGUCCAAAUCCAGUGAAGGAUCACGAUUAUGGCGCAUCGCGCCAGGGCCAACAAUCGGGCUCCAAUUUUAGAAUUUGCUUAAGGGCAUCUUGGUCUUUCCGCCCAGUUUGGCCCUCUAUAUAUAGAUUCAAGUAAAGAGAAAUCCAUUCUUCUCCAUUUAUCUUCCAAGAAAUAUCUAGAACUAGGGUUUCUCUCUUCCAAAUCCAAAUCAAAUCUUCUCGAAGAAGUUCAUGAAUUUUUUCAUAGAUUUUACCAAGUUUUUCAUGAAUCAAGUUCUCCAAGUCAAAGGCAUCAAGAAACUUAUGUCAAAAGUGUGAAGAAGAGUUUUCAAUCAAGUUUUUUCAUCUUAAAGUUAUAAUCUAAGGUAUGUGGGGCUUGAACAAGAAUAUCCUUUCAUUCUUGUGCCCAAAGAAUUGAUUUUUACUAUUGAAAUUUCAUGAUCUUUGCAAGUGGGUUUACACCCAAAUUACUUUAUUGAUGAUCUAUGAGAUUUUAGUUGAUUAAGUUUGAUAUUGAUGAUUAUUUUACCAUCAUAUUUCUUAAAUUGAGAACUUAUGCCAUGAGUUGGAUAUUGUUAUUAUGUAUUGAUGAUUUCUAAGUGAUCUGAGAUAAGUGUCAUGAUUUAAGCGUUUCUACGAGAAGUUGAUUAUUGAAUAUAUAUUGAUAUUUGAUCUUGUGAGUCAAGAAUGAGUUUUAUGAUGUUUUCUUGAAGUUUGUGAUGUUUGAUAUGAAUAAAUAAGCAAGUCCACUUGAUGAUGAGAAAGAUUAUUUUGAGUUGAGUCAAGUUAGGAAUCCACAAAUUGGUUAUGAUUUAAAGAUGAAAUAUAUUUCUGAUUUUGGUCUCUAUGAUAGACUCGUGAGUUGAUUGAGGUGGAUUUCCUAAAACAUUCUGAGUUAAGUCUGGGAGGAGUAUUUAGCACCGAGCGGAAAACGUUGGUUCAGCGCAUCCUACUUCCCCAGAACUACGUGCCACCGUAGGAUUGAGAUUUCAGGGCCCAAGAGCAGAGUUUGUGAUCACAAAGAUGAGUUUGAGGUUAUACUCCCUCGCAAGAACACUCACGUCAAUGUGGGGUUCCUUCCUUAGGAGGGCAAAAUAUUGGACUUCAUGUGGCUCACAUGGUUUAUGUCGGUUAUACAAAACUCCCAAGUCCAUAAUCCAAGUUUCAUGAGUCACCAAGUCACUCCAUAAUCCAAGUUUCAUGAGUCACCGAGUCACUCUAAGUCACAAGUCAAAGAGUUUGAGUUGAGUCUAAUGAUUUAUGAGAUUUAUGAAGCAUGUGUUGUUAUUGAUGAUUUAUGGAAAUUAUGGUUCAGGUAAUUCAAGCGAAGAGAGUCAUUAUUGUCAGCUUGCAUGAUUUUCUUACACAUUUACGAUAUUAUUUAUAAUGUUUCAUACACCCCCACAUACUCAAUACAUUCCCAAGUAUUGAUUCCCAUACUCUUCUGUGUUCUACUUUUUCUCAUGAUGUAGGUUCAAGUGCUCAGUCUCAGC